rnacentral:sRNA from 1 species
AAAUGCAGGCUUGGUCAAGGAUCUCGGGGAUGAGUGGACGCCAAGACGUUAGAGCGAGGGGAGGAAGCCUCCAUUGGGGAUUGUAUCCCGUGAUCGGGGGAAAUAACAAGAAUAGAAGCUUGUACCCCACGAGCAAUAAUGUACGUUAGCUCCAUGCUUACACGGGAGGGUCCCGGUAAUUAAUUAGUCACAUUAGAGCUGGAGAGGAUGGCGGAGAUCAAAUCCUUGUUCAGGUAUUUUGCAGUUUAUAUUUAACCCCAGUAGUUAGGGAAUUUCAGAG